AUUGAACGCUGGCGGCAGGCCUAACACAUGCAAGUCGAGCGGAUGAAGGGAGCUUGCUCCUGGAUUCAGCGGCGGACGGGUGAGUAAUGCCUAGGAAUCUGCCUGGUAGUGGGGGAUAACGUCCGGAAACGGGCGCUAAUACCGCAUACGUCCUGAGGGAAAAAGUGGGGGAUCUUCGGACCUCACGCUAUCAGAUGAGCCUAGGUCGGAUUAGCUAGUUGGUGGGGUAAAGGCCUACCAAGGCGACGAUCCGUAACUGGUCUGAGAGGAUGAUCAGUCACACUGGAACUGAGACACGGUCCAGACUCCUACGGGAGGCAGCAGUGGGGAAUAUUGGACAAUGGGCGAAAGCCUGAUCCAGCCAUGCCGCGUGUGUGAAGAAGGUCUUCGGAUUGUAAAGCACUUUAAGUUGGGAGGAAGGGCAGUAAGUUAAUACCUUGCUGUUUUGACGUUACCAACAGAAUAAGCACCGGCUAACUUCGU
rnacentral:rRNA from 1 species